rnacentral:pre_miRNA from 1 species
AAUUACUUGUCUUAGAUUUGUCUAGAUACGGAUGUAUCUAGCACUAAAAUGAGUCUAGAUACAUUUGUAUCUAGACAAAUCCAAGACAAGUAAUUUAGAACGGAGGGAGUAGGAU